AAGACUUUAAGUUAAUGAAACUAAAAACCUUCAAAGUUUUAAUUGAGCACCCUCAAGUCUUG
rnacentral:tRNA from 1 species